CACUCUAGGCUUCAGGAAGCAGAAGCGAAAGCUGCUGCUGCUGAAGAAAGAGAGCGAUCUAUAAAUGAACGCUUGUCCCAAACCUUAUCUAGAAUUAAUGUUCUGGAGGCGCAGGUUUCAUGCCUUAGAGCAGAGCAGACUCAAUUAAGCAAAACCCUUGAGAAGGAGAGGCAGAGAGCAGCUGAAAUCAGGCAGGAGUAUCUGGCAGCAAAA